GUAUGUACAUAUGCAAGUACACGUACGCCGCUGAUCGCAAGAAGUAACGCUUUUAAAAGUAAAGUUAGUGUACAGAUUAAAAUAUAUACAUAUGUACAUAUAUGCAUAUAUGUAAAAUCUUAUAUUUGGCACUGAUCUUUGAUUGCCUCUCUUUAUUUUACAAUUUAAAUAGCGAUCAGCGGACAUGUACAUGCAUGCAAAUGUAUUUUUUGGCUUCUUGUUGACUUGCGAUGGCAACCAUCUCAGGCGAGUGCGAGCAAGAUAGCUGGCACUGACAUCCAAAAACCGUGAGAGUAUACACAUGUAACUAUAAAACAUAACUAUGUAAAUGGAAUCAACAAAAUAAAAGCUAUAGUCGAGACAAAAGUACCAGUUCGGAUGUGAAAUAUGGACUAAUAUAUAUUUGAAAUAUAUAUAUAUAAGUCCAUAAUAUUAUUAAUUAAGACCC